rnacentral:rRNA from 1 species
UACGGAGGGUGCAAGCGUUGUCCGGAUUUAUUGGGUUUAAAGGGUGCGUAGGCGGGGUCUUAAGUCAGUGGUGAAAGCCGGCAGCUCAACUGUCGAAAUGCCAUUGAUACUGGGGUCCUUGAAUUCAGUUGAGGUAUGCGGAAUUGAUGGUGUAGCGGUGAAAUGCAUAGAUACCAUCAGGAACACCGAUUGCGAAGGCAGCAUACUGGGCUUGAAUUGCCGCUGAGGCACGAAAGUGUGGGGAUCGAACAGG